ensembl:lncRNA
AUGACGAGAUCAGGUGCCUUCAAACUCAGCAUUGUCUUCUUUCUCACCUUAAUCCUGUGUCUACCAGAGUUUUUUCCAGAAAUAUCUCAAGUUGAGUUUAUCUGUGAGCUGUUUGACCCUUGCACUCCUGAAAAUGAUGCACAGGUGUGUACUCCAGAUGACCCUCCAUGUGCGACAGAAAUGAUAAAUGCCAGCAGUCAACAUACACAUGGUGGAGGCUGGUAUCUGUGUAAGACUGAAAUGGAUCUGGAGCUUCUCUAUAACAACACCUCAGAGUCAGGAAAGCAAGUGAUGGUGGUACUGGCAAUGAAGGCAGGCAAUCUCUCUGGAUGGAACAUUAGUGUGUUUGCGUUUCUCAACAACACUGAUCUGUACACUGGACCCCAAAAUGACCAGAGACUCUUCUCCUGCAACCUCCCACCAGACGACAGCAAGUGUCCAGAUCUGAACAUAUCUAUGCAUGAAAACACCAGCACUCCAAUACAAGACACCUCGAUUUUAAAAACCAUAACUUCCGCAAACCCAGCCAACUAUUCGCUUAAAACAACUACACUAUCUUUCCAAGCAACAGCUUCUACGGAUGGGCUGAAGUGCCAAACAAGCAGCAGCAGUUUCCUCUUUUACUACCAAGAGCAAAAUGAAACAGCAAGAUCAGCUGCAUUACAAGCGACGCAAACAAGAAAAAAUGGCCGGUGGUGUGUGAUCACUUCGGUGUGGUUGGCUCUGGUACUGACUGUGCUUGUGGUGACACUAGUGAGUGUGGGCAGUCUGAUCUUCAAGAGCAGAAAACGUAGAAAGUCCAAUUUGGCCACAUUUGUGCCUGUUUCAGCCAGUGGACAUCAGUGCAAAGAGCUCAAGAAACAAAAAGGAAAUUUAAUGAGAGAUGCCCCUGAUGUGUCCAUAGCAAUGUGCAGCAUAAGUGAUGGUGGUGUAUUCUCUCAGAUCUCUUCAGUGGAGAACAGAACAGACGAACACCAUAUGAAAGUUGCUGAUCUCAAGAGAAGAUUGUCACCAGUCUAUGAGAUUACAGAGUCCUCAUUAGAUGAAGAAGAGAAAAGUGAAGAUGAGGAAGAGGGGCAAUGUAAUGUCUCAAUAACAAAGGAAGAGUUUAUAAAGUCAAAUCAGCUCCAACAUCUGGCAGCACAGGGCCACUGUGAACCACCGACUUACCUGCAUCAUCGAAGCUUUUCUUGUUCCUGUCAUGAAGAAGAUGUGGAGCUUUAA